rnacentral:rRNA from 1 species
UACGUAGGUGGCAAGCGUUGUCCGGAUUUACUGGGCGUAAAGAGCGCGCAGGCGGUCGUUCAAGUCGCGUGUGAAAGCCCCCGGCUCAACUGGGGAGGGUCACGCGAUACUGAUCGACUGGAAGGCAGGAGAGGGUAGUGGAAUUCCCGGUGUAGUGGUGAAAUGCGUAGAUAUCGGGAGGAACACCAGUGGCGAAGGCGGCUCACUGGACCAUUACUGACGCUGAGGUGCGAAAGCGUGGGGAGCAAACAGG